ensembl:snRNA U1 U1 spliceosomal RNA
AACCUUACCUGGCAGGGGAGAUACCAUGAUCAUGAAGGUGGUUUUCCCAGGGCGAGGCUUAUCCAUUGCACUCCGGAUGUGCUGACUCCUGCGAUUUCCCCAAGUAUGGGAAACCCAUAAUUUGUAGUAGUUGGGGACUGCGUUCGCACUUUCCCCUA